rnacentral:rRNA from 1 species
UGGGGAAUAUUGGACAAUGGGCGAAAGCCUGAUCCAGCCAUGCCGCGUGUGUGAAGAAGGUCUUCGGAUUGUAAAGCACUUUAAGUUGGGAGGAAGGGCAUUAAGUUAAUACGUUAGUGUUUUGACGUUACCGACAGAAUAAGCACCGGCUAACUUUGU